UAGAGUAAUUUGGGUGAAAUUGAAUCCAUUUCACCAAUAAAUUAAGUAAUUAAUCCUUUAAAACAGAUGCUAAAUAUAGUACCAUCAUAAUUGGAUCCUCGUGUACUGCCAUGGUCUUGAAUACGUUAAGAAAAUGCUGUUUGUUUAGAAGACUUUCAAAACAUUUGAGAGGGAGGAAGGCACUCUUCCAUUGACCCUCAGUGUGCAUUUUAGAUCCAUUUGGGGUUGACUGUUUUGUGUUGCUCCCUGAUGCCUCUAGCACAAGCCCAAGGCCUCCAUGUCUCAUGUCUUUCUUUCUCCCCUUCUCUGCCAUCCCUCUUCCACUCAGGGGAAUAGUCCAGCAUCAACUCAGUCCAUGCUUGUUAAUCAACCACCUCCAUAUACCACAUCCAGCAAAGCUCCCUGAGUGACUCACAGUCACAAACACCCAGGGCACUGAUCUUUCCUCUGUGGCCUUCCAGGUUCUUCUGAGGACAAUCUGAAUUUAAUACGCCUACCGCAAAGUGAAAUUGGUGAUUGGGAUAAUGAUGAUAAUGAUAAGGAUGAUGAGGAUGUUGAUAUCAUCCAGAUUUUCCCGUUGCCUGACCAAGGUAUGUACCUUGAACUAACUCACUUUCUGAGAAACAAGCUUGCUGGCUUUAAUAUAUAGAAACCUUAAUCUGGGUUCCUGUUAAAAAUAUUGGGGGUGUGGUGAGAGCAAAUGAUUUUGCAAGUGUAUAGCUAUGAGCAGAGGGGCUGUAGAAAUGUGUGUGAACCCAGAGGACCAACCAGGAGAUUCUGUGUGAGCCAGUGUGUCUUCACCUGGAGUAGGAGAAGUGAGUGCAGCUCUCACUGACUUAUCCUGAUGUUGGUGGGUCUAAAGAGUGGAUUCUGGAGACUCUCAGCAGGGAAGAGGAUGCCUUUCCAGGUAGUCAAGAAGACUUCAGGUGGGAUCUAAUAAAACAGCAUUUCCAGCAACCUUCAUGUUAUACCUGCUGCUUGGCAGGGUUAGGGAGGGUGUAGAAAGAGAAAAAGAAAAGGCAAAUAUAAGUGAAGUUUGUUAUUUUCAGAGUUUAAUGUCAUCAUGGUGAGAAGUGUCAUGUUUAUGGGCUUUUGAGUAUCCUGUGUUUUCAAUCACCUCUUCUUACUUUAUCAUUUAAAAAUGAUUUUUCUAGAACACUUGCUCUUUGCUGCCUCUGCCACUGCAAAAUCUCAAAACCUUUGGUUUAGGACAGAGUUCUGUCGUAGGCAGUUACUUAAUGCUGGAGACAAAAUUCUUCUGUGAUGUGCCCAGAUGCAUAGGAGAAAUUAAUCCUCACCUUAUGAACUGUUAGGUUUCUUGGCAGCACACUUAUUCAUCUGUUUUUCCUGCUUACCUCUGGCAUCAAAAGCUCCU